GACGAACGCUGGCGGCGUGCUUAACACAUGCAAGUCGAACGGUAAGGCCUUUCGGGGUACACGAGUGGCGAACGGGUGAGUAACACGUGGGUGAUCUGCCCUGCACUUCGGGAUAAGCCCGGGAAACUGGGUCUAAUACCGGAUAGGACUGCGCGGUGCAUGCCGUGUGGUGGAAAGAUUUAUCGGUGCAGGAUGGGCCCGCGGCCUAUCAGCUUGUUGGUGGGGUAAUGGCCUACCAAGGCGACGACGGGUAGCCGGCCUGAGAGGGCGACCGGCCACACUGGGACUGAGACACGGCCCAGACUCCUACGGGAGGCAGCAGUGGGGAAUAUUGCACAAUGGGCGCAAGCCUGAUGCAGCGACGCCGCGUGAGGGAUGACGGCCUUCGGGUUGCAAACCUCUUUCAGCAGGGACGAAGCGUGAGUGACGGUACCUGCAGAAGAAGCACCGGCCAACUACGUG
rnacentral:rRNA from 1 species